rnacentral:rRNA from 1 species
GUAGGGUGCAAGCGUUAAUCGGAAUUACUGGGCGUAAAGCGUGCGCAGGCGGCUUUGCAAGACAGAUGUGAAAUCCCCGGGCUCAACCUGGGAACUGCAUUUGUGACUGCAUGGCUAGAGUGCGGCAGAGGGGGAUGGAAUUCCGCGUGUAGCAGUGAAAUGCGUAGAUAUGCGGAGGAACACCGACGGCGAAGGCAAUCCCCUGGGCCUGCACUGACGCUCAUGCACGAAAGCGUGGGGAGCAAACAGGAUUAGAUACCCUGGUAGUCCACGCCCUAAACGAUGUCAACUGGUUGUUGGACGGCUUGCUGUUCAGUAACGAAGCUAACGCGUGAAGUUGACCGCCUGGGGAGUACGGCCGCAAGGUUG